AUGCUUAGGAAGGUGAGGCCAGAGGGUGCUCAUGGCCCAACCUGCCCAGGGACUGAAUCCUGGACAAGGGCCGAGGCCAUGGAAGGAGGCUUCUCAUCUGCUGAGGAGAGACAAGAUCCCGCACUCUGUGGUGACCCCUCCAGGCAGCUGUCUGCAGAACAUAAAGCACCAUGGACUACAGGUCCCCAACCUCAGCAGAGACGUCCAGCAGGGGAUCCUUGGCUCCUGCCAGCUCUUCUCUCUGGGCCAAAUCAGUGGAGGGACUUGACAUCUCGGGACUGCCAUUAACAUGUUUUCUGCACCUUCUUGUUUUAAGACUACUCUUUUUCCAAAUUUUUAAAAGCAAGUAGUGAGACUUCUGUGUAUAACUUAGGCUAGAUCACCACACAAGCUUUUUGUUUCCCUCAAAUUUAAUUUUAUAAAUAAAUGCUAACUGCUGAAUUUUUGUUUUCAUCCUUGUUCAAAUUAUUCUUAACUGUUUUGAAGGCAAAAUUGGAAAAAUAUAAUAUGCUUUGUAAAGUAUAAUAAAAGUUUUAUUGAAAACAUUAUUUGUGUGUGUGUGUGUGUGUGUGUGUGUCGUA
rnacentral:lncRNA from 1 species